AUGCUGUUCGGCCUGACGAACACACCAGCAACUUUCCAUUGUCUGAUUAACCAGAUAUUCGCCAAGCAUGCACGCAGAUUUGUGAUCAUAUUUUUGGAUGACAUCCUGGUGUUUAGUGAGAUGCUGCAGGAAAAUGAGGAACAUCUUGGGCUAGUGUUCGAUCUUCUUCGCCAGCACCAGCUCUAUGCCAAGUUGUCCAAGUGCUCCUUCGCACAAGAGAGCAUCAAGUACCUAAGCCACAUCAUCUCGCAUGCCGGCAUUGCCACGGACAUGGAGAAGACCCAGGCCAUGCUCAAUGGGCCAAUGUCGUCCACACAAAUAGAGUUGUGUGGAUUCCUCGACUUCACUGGCUAUUAA
rnacentral:rRNA from 1 species